ACCUGUAUAUAUAGUAUGUGUAUUUUUAUCUAAUUUUUGACAUACUGUACCAUGUGUCAAUGUCAUUCUAUACUAUGUCUUAAUUGGCCUCUUUUUCAACAUCAUACUAUAUAUACCAUGUGUCAUUUUACCACAUUUUUAGGCAAGUCUACACUAUGUUUCAUCUUACCUUUUUUAUCACAUGCCUAAUGUUCAACAUGCAGCAGGUGCAGGAUUGUUUAAAGACGUCCACUGUACUGGUUGGAACACUUGUAGGUUUGUCUGAAUUGAAUGGAAGAUUACUUUUACACUGGAUUUGAUUGUCAAGUCAUGGCUCUAGAAAUUCUUGAGAAGUGUCGGUCUCCUUGGUAACCUGUGGUUACCACUGUCAACUCUCUGGGCAUUACUUGAGACCAACCUCUUUAUAACAUGAGUAUCCGUUUCAUUCCUGCAAAACCUAAAAACAAAAGCACUGCUAUUGUUUUAGCAUGUGGCUUUACUUGUACGCUCACUCCGCCAGCUUGAUUCACCUAGUCAUCUUUUUCAGUCCUAGUCCCAUCUUUCCCAUACAUGAUUAUAUCUCAACUAGCAGCGAGCUUGGAGCCAUGAUGGUUGUCAGGCACUGAACAGUUAAUGGAAUUGGUUCGCAACCCAAGGCUACAACCCGGAUCGCCAAGACAGAAGGAGGAAACACACUCAUCUCAUUAUGCAAGGGCGAUCCAAAGACAACGGUGAGACGAGAAUGGAAAAAGUUGCCACAACCACAAAAAUACUUACAAGUAGAGAACAACAACAAACACUUUUGAGUCUCAUAGAUUUUUCUCAUACAUUUCUAUUUUUAAAUAUCUUUUAAAAUGUAAUUUGUUAAAUCUGGUUUUCAGCCCCACCUUUGCCCUUUUAUAUAUAAUUUCUACACAUCUUCAGACCUUUCUUAAAGAUAUUCAUUUUUAUAAUUUUUUUUUUUUAGGCUUUUUGUGUUUUUUGCUGUCCAUUGUCUUGUGGUAUGUCACUUUAUGGAUUUUUUUUUUUUUCUUUUAACAGGUAAGUUCAUGGCAGGACCAAUGAGCUGAGAGUAGCAGCAAAGCAGGCACACUGACUGGCUGUUUGAGUGGUCCCACCUCUGUGGUUUUGAUGGGUAACGAAUACAAAAUGUCUCAUGCUUGAUUUCCGUUGGGCGCUCUGUGCAUUCACCGUUUAUCCCCCCCACCCCCGGCAAACUCAUUUGCGAUCCACUCUUCCUCCUCUUUUUCUCUGCUCCUUAGAAGACCCGUCCCGUCAGAUGGCGUGAUUACUGUAGCUGACGUAUGUCGUCUUAGUUGACGAAGCUGCAAGAGAAGGAGAAGCAUUAAACUAAAGUAUUAAGAAGUAUUAAGAAUAAAGAUCAUUAGCAAUGUCAUCACGUCCGCACAUCACCCGAGUUGUGGAGGCUUCGACGAGUGCAGCGUCUCAAGUCCCCUCAAGCAUUCUCUCAAAGUCUGUGCAGCACCACAGUUCGGUCUUGACUUCUCCGUUUGGCCUGUCUCCUCCCUUCUGGGUCAGCUUUCCCGACAUGGUGGCUGCUGUGACGAUUGCCUGCAAAAAAAUAAAAUAAAUAAAGUUGCUUAAACUGUC